rnacentral:rRNA from 1 species
CCCUUAGAUGUUCUGGGCCGCACACGCGCUACACUGACAGAGCCAACGAGUUCAUUUCCUUGGCCGGAAGGUCUGGGUAAUCUUGUUAAACUCUGUCGUGCUGGGGAUAGAGCAUUGCAAUUAUUGCUCUUCAACGAGGAAUGCCUAGUAAGCGCGUGUCAUCAGCACGCGUUGAUUACGUCCCUGCCCUUUGUACACACCGCCCGUCGCUACUACCGAUUGAAUGGCUCAGUGAGGCCUUCGGACUGGCUUAGGGAGGUUGGCAACGACCACCCUGAGCCGGGAAGUUCGUCAAACUCGGCCAUUUAGAGGAAGUAAAAGUCGUAACA